rnacentral:rRNA from 1 species
GACGAACGCUGGCGGCGUGCUUAACACAUGCAAGUCGAACGGAAAGGCCCCCACCUUGGUGGGGGUGCUCGAGUGGCGAACGGGUGAGUAACACGUGGGUGAUCUGCCCUGUACUUCGGGAUAAGCUUGGGAAACUGGGUCUAAUACCGGAUAGGACCAUGGUUUAGUGUCUCAUGGUGGAAAAAUUAUUGUUUUGGUGCAGGAUGAGCUCGCGGCCUAUCAGCUUGUUGGUGGGGUAAUGGCCUACCAAGGCGUCGACGGGUAGCCGGCCUGAGAGGGUGGACGGCCACAUUGGGACUGAGAUACGGCCCAGACUCCUACGGGAGGCAGCAGUGGGGAAUAUUGCACAAUGGGCGCAAGCCUGAUGCAGCGACGCCGCGUGGGGGAUGACGGCCUUCGGGUUGUAAACUCCUUUCGUUAGGGACGAAGCCACACCUUUUUUGGGUGUGGUGACGGUACCUUUGUGAAGAAGCACCGGCUAACUACGUG